UACUUACUCUCUAGUCUCUUCCGCCUCCAACCUCCACUCUUCAGUCUCCAGUGUGCAUCCCUCUCCCUCCUCACUUCGUCACUGCUCCAAGUCCAGCCGUCGCCACCUGCUCCAGCCGGCAGCCUCCUGCUCCAUUGCUCCAACACUACUUUGUACUUUGGUAAUUUCUAAAUUCUAAUUUAGCCUAAAUGUCUUUCAAAUUAUAUUAUUUCAUGUUAAGAAUCAAGAUGAUCUCUUUAAUUUUUC
rnacentral:lncRNA from 1 species